AACAAACAUGGAGGAUCGUUUAGGCACUACCCUCUUAGCCUCCACCACCACAGCUUUCACCUCUGUUUCUCCGGAAAUAACCUCCAGACCACCAAAGCAGACAACCACCUCAGAAGUGUCCUUUGAAGGGGAGAUUCAGUAUGCGGUUUCUCCCUCCACACAGACAUCUGAGCCAGGAUAUAUGAAUAGGCUUUCUCUCUCGGUGGUUGUUGGUGAAGGUGCGGGGGAGGGGAGAUUACGUGGGGGCUGAGUGUGAAUACAAAUAUCAGUCGAUAUGGUUUCAAGACUCAUUUGUCUUGGUAAGUAAGCCCGUCUUUGGUAAGCCAGUCGCUUGCACUUGUGCACCUGUCAAAUAGACGUCUGGUUUUUUUUUAAGGAACAUAAAGCCAGUGAACAGGAAGAGAUUAUUUGUUCCAGGCUGUAAAUUUGUUCUCAUUGUCUCAACUCUGAUGGGAGCUCAGUGAUGGUGUGCAGAGGGAAAGAAUGCGCAACGUAAGGUUGAAUAUAUGAAAGAGCUUUAAAUAGUGAUGCCUCCUCAUUCUUAAGGGCUUUGCUCCUACUCAGUUUGUUUUGUGCCCUUUCCGCCACUGCUAUACUGCUGUUCCAAAUGUAGAAAACAAAUAAUCUCAAGGAUGACGUGCAACGUUGUGUAGCUGUGAUAUUUCAAUAGAAAAACAUUCAGCUCCAUUCACAAAGACACCCACACCGUGAAUAAACUUUAUUUCAGAUGCGAUUUAAUGCUUUGUACAAAGUUUGUUGUCAUAGUCUCAGAAACCCUGUCCAAAGAGAUGUAUCCACUCCCAAGGCUGACAAAUUAAUUGCUACCCACUGGGCACACACUGGUUGAAUCAACCUUGUAUCCACUUCAUUUCAAUGAUAUUACGUUGAACCAACAUGGAAUAGACAUUGAAUUGACGCCUGUGCCCUGUGUGUACUAUCUGCAACAGUUGCUGGGUGAUUCUCAUAAAACCAGCUUUAACCAUGUUAGUAGCAAAUUGAGUUAGAAAACUACGAUGCUUCUGCAACAAUGAACUACAGUACACUACAUGACCAAAAGUAUAUGGAUACAUACCUGUCAAACAUCUCAUUCCAAUAUCAUGGGCAUUAAUAUGGAGUUGGUCCACCUUUGCUGCUAUAACAGCCUCAACUAUUCUGGGAAGUUUUUCCAGUAGAUGUUGGAACAUUGCUGGUUGGACUUACUUCCAUUCAGCUACAAGAACGUUAGUGAGGUCGGGCACUGAUGUUGGCUGAUUACGCCUGGCUCGCUGUCACCGUUCCAAGUCAUCCCAAAGAUGUUCGAUGGUGUUGAGGCCAGGGCUCUGUGCAGGCCAGUCAAGUUCUUCCACAACAAUCUCGACAGACCAUUUCUGCAUGGACCUUGCUUUGUGCACAGGGGCAUUUAUUUUACAUGUUUUUAUUUCACCUUUAUAUAACUAGGCACGUCAGUUAAGAACAAAUUCUUAUUUACAAUGACGACCUACACCGGCCAAACCCGGAUGACGCUGGGCCAAUUGUGCGCUGCCCUAUGGGACUACAAAUCACAGCCGGUUGUGAUACAGCCUGGAUUCAAACCAGGGUGUCUGUAGUGUCACCUAAAACCCUCACAAAUUUUUACAGAUGCACAACUGAAAGCGUCCUGUCGGGCUGUAUCACCGCCUGGUACAGCAACUGCACUGCCCGCAACCGCAAGGCUCUCCAGAGGGUGGGAAGGUCUGCCCAACGCAUCACCGGGGGCAAACUACCCGCCCUCCAGGACACCUACAGCACCCGAUGUCACAGGCAGGCCAAAAAGAUCAUCAAGGACAUCAACCAGCUGAGUCACUAUCAUCCAGAAGGCGAGGUGCUAGUUUCAUGAAAAUCACCCUCCUGCAUGAGGUUGCGCAAUCAAAGCCACCAUUCCAUGACUCAAGGCGCUCCCUGACAUUAAACAUGAAGGACAGUGGAGGAAUUGAACUCAACGAACUGGAAUCCCACAUGGUGGCACUGGCAGAGCACAGACACAUACUGUGUACACAGUGUACACACACACACACACACGCAUACACACAUGCACAACAUAACACAAAUCCAGUUGCCAAUACAUCUUAUUCUUCUCAACGGAAACACCUAAUUACUUCCGCUCAAUGUCUUUGACAAAGCGAGCCCAGAUGGAAUCAAUGAAAGUGUUGUUGUUCGUUCCAGGCUUUAUUUAGAGGGCCCGUCAGUACCACAACAUCCACAUUCUUGAUCUCGGAGCCGGGGGUUGGGUUCGAAAAUGCUCUCCGAGACAUGCUCUCUCUCCUUGGGCGCUAGAUAGCAGGUACUAGCCUACCUGCAGCUGCUCACAAAGCGGCGGAAGGAGAUUAACGCCACGGCACGCUCUAAUUAAGCAAUAAGGCAUGAGGGGGUUUGUGGUAUGUUGGCAAUAUACCACAAACUACGAGGUGCCUUAUUGAUAUUAUAAACUGGUUACCAACGCAAAUCAAACAGUAAAAAUAAAUGUUUUGUCAUACCCGUGGUAUAUGGUCUGAUAUACCACAGCUUUCAGACAAUCAGCAUUCAGGGCUCAAACCACCCAGUUUAUAAUUGUUGUUUAAUUAUAGUCCUGGAGCACCU
rnacentral:lncRNA from 1 species